rnacentral:rRNA from 1 species
GAUCCUGGCUCAGGAUGAACGCUAGCGGCAGGCUUAACACAUGCAAGUCGAGGGGCAGCAGUCUGUAGCAAUACGGAGCUGGCGACCGGCGCAAGGGUGCGUAACGCGUGAGCAACUUGCCCGUAACAGGAGGAUAACCGGAGGAAACUCCGACUAAUACUGCGUAGCAAUACCCGGUGGCAUCGCCGGGUGUUUAAAGGCGAAAGCCGGUUACGGAUAGGCUCGCGUGACAUUAGCUGGAUGGCGGGGUAACGGCCCACCAUGGCGACGAUGUCUAGGGGUUCUGAGAGGAAGGUCCCCCACACUGGUACUGAGACACGGACCAGACUCCUACGGGAGGCAGCAGUGAGGAAUAUUGGUCAAUGGGCGGAAGCCUGAACCAGCCAUGCCGCGUGAAGGAAUGAGGCCCUAUGGGUCGUAAACUUCUUUUGACGGGGAGCAAUAAGGCGUACGUGUACGCCGAUGAGAGUACUCGUCGAAUAAGCAUCGGCUAACUCCGUGCC